rnacentral:rRNA from 1 species
GAUGAACGCUAGCGGCAGGCCUAAUACAUGCAAGUCGAACGGGAUCCAGAUCAAAGCUUGCUUUGGUUUGGUGAGAGUGGCGCACGGGUGCGUAACGCGUGAGCAACCUACCCUUGUCAGGGGGAUAGCCCGGCGAAAGUCGGAUUAAUACCGCAUGACAUCAUUGAGAGGCAUCUUUCGAUGAUCAAAGAUUUAUCGGACAAGGAUGGGCUCGCGUGACAUUAGCUAGUUGGUAAGGUAACGGCUUACCAAGGCUACGAUGUCUAGGGGCUCUGAGAGGAGAAUCCCCCACACUGGUACUGAGGCACGGACCAGACUCCUACGGGAGGCAGCAGUAAGGAAUAUUGGUCAAUGGACGGAAGUCUGAACCAGCCAUGCCGCGUGCAGGAAGACGGCCCUAUGGGUUGUAAACUGCUUUUAUACGGGAACAAACGUCGGUACGUGUACCGGUCUGAGUGUACCGUAAGAAUAAGGAUCGGCUAACUCCGUG